rnacentral:tRNA from 1 species
GGCUUGUAGCUCAGGUGGUUAGAGCGCACCCCUGAUAAGGGUGAGGUCGGUGGUUCAAGUCC